UCCUCCUAAGUAAAGAUGUGGAGUAUCCUUUAAGCAGCAACUUAAAAUCACUGAAUCCUGAAGGGAAAAGGAUAAGCAUUUAGAAUGCACCUACUAUGUGCCAGCCAUUAGGCCAAGUGCUUUUUUUUUUUUUGCAAAUAUUAUCUCAUUUGAUCCUGACAACAGUCCUGAGAGCUUUACCUCCAAGUUGAUGACACUUGACUGCCCUGGGCCUCAGUUAUCUCAUCUGCAAAAUGAGCAGGUUGAGGAGAUUGCAACUUAAAUGAAUCCUCUCAGAGG
rnacentral:lncRNA from 1 species